CCCAUACGAGGAGUAAAAAUGGCGGCGACAGAGCACAGGGUUGGUGACAACAGUUGGACGAGGUGGUCUACAGGUGAGGAACGGCCGCCAAGCAUUCCUCUGGCCACCGCACUGGAGCCUCGUCAGCUAAGGCUACAAUGGCACUGCCAGUCCCUCCUCUUUCUCCCUCUCCCAUGCCACCGUUCCCCUCCCUCAUCCAUCAACACAGCCCGGUCCACCUCACUGAGAGCUCUCGGCGGUAGGGGGAAUGGCAGUGACGGUGGCUACUGGAUAGUAGGGACUCGCCGAGGUGGUCCAUUCCAAGGAAGAGGGAGAGGAUGCCGGUGACAAGGUGAGCUUCGCCUACCCCCCUUCUCUCUCCAUGUCUUCUGUACAAUAUGUAUUCUGCUUUAGUAUUUAGCAUAUUACAUAGUUUACUUUGAGGACGGAUGGACUCUCUUAUGUUGUUCUCGAGAGAAUUUUUUUAGUCUCUCUUAGAUGUACUUUGAUUUGCUGUGAAUCUUAUGGUCACAAUCAACAUGUUUAUUUUGGCUAAAUUAUGAGUUGUCCGAAUCUGAUGUUUUCCGCACAACUAGGAGGGGGUGGAGAUGAAAUGGGGCCAAAUGAUCCCGCCGCAACAAUAGUAGAUCUGAAUUUGUGUUGCUAGGGCGCAGACUGACCUGACUUUGAGGAAAAACAUGGAGAUUCAAGUGCCAUUUUCUCCUGGCAAUUCCAUUUUCAGCAGCUUUUAGAGAUGCCUCUUCAUUUGUUAGAAAAAAACAUAGAGAUUCAAGUGCAUUUUUUCCUGCCAAUUCCAUUUUCAGAAACUUUCAAAGAUGCAUCUUCAUUUGGUAGAAAAUACCUUUUUGAAUUAUGAGCUUGGUCUUUUAACAUGGCAUACAAAAUGUACUUUUGAAUAUAAUAUUAUGUUGCUACUUGCAAAGUUUUUUGAGUGGUAAAUUGUUUUUCAAAUUUCCAAGGACAUAUUAAUUUUACGUGGCUGCAGAGGAGUAUAUCAAGUUAUCAGCAGGGUGCAUCAAUGGCUCGCAGCGGAGGAAGCUGCGGCGACUGCUACUACUGCAGCAAGGAGCUAGCUAGCUAGGUGUAGCCGACACAAUAAGUUUCCAUUUCGCUUCAGAAUUCGGAGGAGGUCAACAUUUGUUUUAUAGUCCUAACAAGGUCACACCUUUUCCCUUUUUCUUACUUUGUCCCUCAAAUUGGGGCUACUGAGUGUUCGUGAUGGAAAUUUACGGGUCAGUGUUUACAUUGGUUUGUGGGGAUUACAAGUUGAUAAGGAAUUCAUGCUUGAUGGUCUUGUAUUUUGAUGUCGUGAUUUGUGUUGACGUUCUGCAUAUGUUCAGGAAAAAAGAUAGUAGAACAAAGCUAGAGGAUAACUAUGGUGAAAAUAAUUAUUCGUCUUGUCAAUGUAUAAGGGGAGUAACGUCCAUGGUGGAGGUGCAGAUCAAGGAGGUCGGCAAAUGGGAUGAGGUUGGGUGACGUGAGUGAGGAAAAAGGUGUAGGUCCUUAGUUUUUUGGUGAUGGUAGUGGCAUACUUCCUUCAGUGAAGGAAGGAAUCCCGACGCUUACAAUGACGUUAAUGUUGCUAGCAGUAGGGGGCGGAAGCUUGGCACAUGUAUGUCUUAACGUCUUAUUUGUUAAUGUUGGGGCAAUGCAUGCCGAGUGGUGGUUGCGUAUAUGUUAUUGCUACACUAGCAAAUUUGUUUUAGGUAAGAGAAAAUGUCUUUUUUGUUUCAUACAUUGUUGUUUCAGUUAGUAGUGAAUAUUGAUGAUGCUCGUGGAAACUUUCAAGACAUUGCGGAACUUUAUAUCAUCAUUUAACAACUUUGAUUUCUAAUUAGCGCGACAAUCUUCACCAAUAUUUAUGUCAAAAAGGAAAUUAGUCGGAAUUGGUUUACUGUCUUGCUGAGAUUAAAUAUCCACAUUUUCCAAAUCCCAAGGUGUAGAGGUUGAUUCCUAGUUUUUCGUUAUUUCUUUUUUUUUUCAUCUAAUCUUUACUGACCAAUUUUUUCUAUGCAUGUCACUAAUUAUUUUUCCGCUCGUUCAAUACCUGAUGCAUGUAGAGAUUAGCUUUGACGAUUCAUGCAUUGUAGUUUGUAGCCUGAUAGCUAUAUAAAAAAAUACAUUGCUGAUUCAGUUUUGGUUUUUCACUCAGACAUACAGUGGUUAGGGUUCUUAAUCCAUACAUAGUGGUAUUUGUAGGUUGAUGUUAUCAUAUCUUCCAUUCAAUAUCUUGUGCAAAGUUACAUGCAUAUUUUUCUUUCUUUAGGCCAUACACCCGUUUGAUUUCUGGACCCAUAUUUUAAUGGUUCUCUUGCAGGUGAUGUGAAGGUUAGCUACUGUGAUCAAGGAAAUAACAUGUAUCUGUGUGGUUUGUUCCUGCCGUUGAUCGACUAUUGCUGUGUUUAAGGUAUGUUGUGCCCGGUGCUACUUAAUGCUAUAUAAAACCUAUAGCUGUACAUAAAACGCCUUGAUAUGCAAAUAACCUAGUUAAAAUAAAUGGGUUGCGCCAUCUAGCAUUACAUGACGACAUGCCAAACACUCUGCCACCUAGGAUAGUAUAUAUUUGUAUUUCAUUGAGUUAUCUCAUAUUUCUAGUAAAAAAACUCUUCGCUUUGGGGUUUUGGAAUAAUCUUCAGGAAGUUGGUGACGAUUUAGUAGAACUUAUGGAAAUGUCGCUUUCAUUAGACAAUGACAUGCCAAAGACGCCACUUCCUGAUGUAGUCUUUGGACUUAAGCUAUCUCAUAUGUCCAAUAACAAGAUUUGUCACUUCGGUUUUUAGAAUAAUCUUUGAUAAGUUGGUUAAGAAUUAGAGCGAAAUUUACGCUCAUGAGUAGUAUUUGUUGUACAAACAUCUAGUUAAUUCUUGAGAUACAAUAGAGACACUAUAAUAGUACUACUUUAGUCAAAUACAUUGUCCACUGAUUGUUGUAGUGAAAUGUCGCUCUAGCUGUUAAUUUGCAGAAUCUUGCAUGACAAACUAUAGGCAUGUGAUCUCUAUGGUGUUUUAGUAAAUAAAGAAAACUGGAACAUGUGCCUUCAAAUUUUGUAUUUAUAUACAAAAACCAAGUAUUGGUACAUACGAACCAUAUGAAUAGGACUGAAGAAGAUCUAUUUUUCUGUCAUGUUUGUGAGUUUUCUGUUAUUUCCUCUCAGCGUGAGUAGGUCUGAAGAAGACGGACAUAGCCCUUUAGGUAAUUUCACUUUUUUUGAACCACAAACAGUAGAACAAUAGUUCUAUGGUAUAUUUUCAUUAAAAAACAGUAUGUUACAAAGGGAAAGGAGAAAACAGAAACAAAAGAAAAAAUAUCUAAGCUAAUGGGGAAGAGCCCUUAUCCAAUUUCAGUUUUGGGCAACACGAGAAUCAUUUAAAAAUUUAUCUGACAACCUGCUUGAACAAGGUGGAAUGCUUGUCUUUGAUCUUGUGUUGAAGUAGUUGAAAAUCCUUUUUUAAUUCAAGCCUCCAAUUUGAGACUGUCGGUUGGAUGUUUCUGAAGACCUUGCCAUUUCACUUUGUCCGAGAUUAAUAACAAAUUACAAAUUUAUUUGUUUAAGUAGGACAGGUUGUUUAUGAAGGUAUACCAUUUCUAUUGACUGGAUAAUUUACAUGUUGGCAAGGACUUAUUGGUGCAGCCUGGUCCUAAUUGCUUGGCCAAUUUCCCAACCCAAAUCCAUAACCGCUUCACCUUUAGAUCUUUACGUGCUUGAUGAAAUGCCUUAGAGACUAAGAUCUGCACUUUGUUUUUCUCCGUUCUCCUGCUCACGGAUUAACCGAUGGAUGUAAUACCCAGAGAAGCCUUAGGAACUGAUCUGCAGUGUCUUCCAGUGUAUGCGGACACACAAUUCACUUUCCUUUCCUUUUUGCCCUUUGUAUAAAUGAUGUGGUUGAGUUACGAAGCCUCUUCAGUGUUGUCUGCAAGCCGAAGGGGAGUUUUUACUGCAUUUGAGCUGCUCUAUCUGAUUGUUCAUCUCUUGAACCCGUUUUAGCUGAUAUAAAAGUGUUCUCUUUUUCAGAAAGCCAUAAAAUGAGAUUGUGCCCCUCUUUCUCCAGUAGAACAACAUGUUAUAAACAUGGCGCUGGGCAUUGUUUGUCCACUUCCCUUCAAAAGAGAAGAGAUGGCUAUAGAGUGGAUUCAUCACUAAAGAGAUGACAAAUGUUGUGCAAGGCAUUGUUUGUUCAGCUUCUUUAAAAAUGAAGGAGUUACCGUGCAUCUGACCUAUAAAGGGGAUGUGAAGGAAAAAAUGCUAUGUUGUGCAAGGCAUUGUUUGUUCAGCUUCUUUGAAAAAUGAAGGAGUUAAAGUGCAUCUGACCUAUAAAGGGGCUAUGAAGUGAAAAAUGUUAUGGAUCCAGAGUGGGAGUGGAGAGUUACCAACAACGUAUCAAGGACAAACCGUGACAUGGAUUCCUAAGUUCCAGCUUACAUAGCAAAAUUAUAUAGAGAGAAUGCCCGCAUUUUGAAAUCUCUGUUACAUAGUUUGAAGCUAUGUUUCUUUCCAUUUUCAAUAUUAAAAGGAUCCUUAUUAUUGACAAUUUGUCAAGCAUUUAUUGUCAAAUAACUCUUUGUUUGAAAUGAGACCUUGCGCCAUUUGGCGCAAGGGGUAAAGUUAUUAUACAUCUUAUUAUAGAC